rnacentral:rRNA from 1 species
UUAGCUAGUUGGUGUGGUAACGGCAUACCAAGGCAACGAUGAUUAGGGGUCCUGAGAGGGAGAUCCCCCACACUGGUACUGAGACACGGACCAGACUCGUACGGGAGGCAGCAGUGAGGAAUAUUGGUCAAUGGAGGCAACUCUGAAYCAGCCAUGCCGCGUGCAGGAUGACGGUCCUAUGGAUUGUAAACUGCUUUUGUACAGGAAGAAACCUCCCUACGAGUAGGGACUUGACGGUACUGUAAGAAUAARGAUCGGCUAACUCCGUGCCAGCAGCCGCGGUAAUACGGAGGAUCCGAGCGUUAUCCGGAAUUAUUGGGUUUAAAGGGUUCGUAGGCGGCUUUGUAAGUCAGUGGUGAAAUUUCCUAGCUUAACUAGGACACUGCCAUUGAUACUGCAGAGCUUGAAUAAUAUGGAAGUAACUAGAAUAUGUAGUGUAGCGGUGAAAUGCUUAGAUAUUACAUGGAAUACCAAUUGCGAAGGCAGGUUACUACGUAUUUAUUGACGCUGAUGAAMGAAAGCGUGGGGAGCGAACAGGAUUAGAUACCCUGGUAGUCCACGCCGUAAACGAUGGAUACUARCUGUUCGGUUUUCGGACUGAGUGGCUAAGCGAAAGYGAUAAKUAUCCCACCUGGCGAGUACGUUCGCAAGAAUGAAACUCAAAGGAAUUGACAGGGGCCCGCACAAGCGGUGGAGCAUGUGGUUUAAUUCUAUGAUACGCGAGGAACCUUACCACGUCUUAAAUGUAGAUUGACAGAUUUUGGAAACAGAUAUUUUCUUCGUGACAAUUUACAACGUGCUGCAUGGUUUGUCGUCAGCUCGUGCCGUGACGUGUCAUGU